AGAACUUAGCAGAGAUGCUUGGUGCCUUCGGGAACUCUGAGACAGGUGCUGCAUGGCUGUCGUCAGCUCGUGUUGUGAAAUGUUGGGUUAAGUCCCGCAACGAGCGCAACCCUUAUCCUUUGUUGCCAGCGGUUAGGCCGGGAACUCAAAGGAGGCUGCCAGUGAUAAACUGGAGGAAGGUGGGGAUGACGUCAAGUCAUCAUGGCCCUUACGAGUAGGGCUACACACGUGCUACAAUGGCGCAUACAAAGAGAAGCGACCUCGCGAGAGCAAGCGGACCUCAUAAAGUGCGUCGUAGUCCGGAUUGGAGUCUGCAACUCGACUCCAUGAAGUCGGAAUCGCUAGUAAUCGUGGAUCAGAAUGCCACGGUGAAUACGUUCCCGGGCCUUGUACACACCGCCCGUCACACCAUGGGAGUGGGUUGCAAAAGAAGUAGGUAGCUUAACCUUCGGGAGGGCGCUUACCACUUUGUGAUUCAUGACUGGGGUGAAGUCGUAACAAGGUAAGCGUAGUGCU
rnacentral:rRNA from 1 species